GCCCGGGUAGCUCAGUCGGUAGAGCAGAGGACUGAAAAUCCUCGUGUCGGCGGUUCGAUUCCGUCCCCGGGCACCA
rnacentral:tRNA from 1 species